GAGUGUUUAGAGUGGAAGACUCAUAAUAAGAUUGACAAGAAACCAAGAAAUGAAUGCAGGUCAAGGCAUUGUACAUGAAAGAGAUUUUGAAAAGAUUUAACACAACAA